UACAGAGGGGGCAAGCGUUGCUCGGAAUUACUGGGCGUAAAGGGCGCGUAGGCGGCCUGCUAAGUCGAACGUGAAAUCCCUGGGCUCAACCCAGGAACUGCGUCCGAUACUGGUUGGCUUGAAUCCGGGAGAGGGAUGUGGAAUUCCAGGUGUAGCGGUGAAAUGCGUAGAUAUCUGGAGGAACACCGGUGGCGAAGGCGGCAUCCUGGACCGGUAUUGACGCUGAUGCGCGAAAGCCAGGGGAGCAAACGGG
rnacentral:rRNA from 1 species